rnacentral:rRNA from 1 species
UACGGAGGGUGCAAGCGUUAUCCGGAUUCACUGGGUUUAAAGGGUGCGUAGGAGGGCAGGUAAGUCAGUGGUGAAAUCUCCGAGCUUAACUUGGAAACUGCCGUUGAUACUAUCUGCCUUGAAUAUUGUGGAGGUGAGCGGAAUAUGUCAUGUAGCGGUGAAAUGCUUAGAUAUGACAUAGAACACCAAUUGCGAAGGCAGCUCGCUACACAUAUAUUGACUCUGAGGCACGAAGCGUGGGAUCAAACAGG